AUUGAACGCUGGCGGCAUGCCUUACACAUGCAAGUCGAACGGUAACGGGCCUUCGGGCGCCGACGAGUGGCGAACGGGUGAGUAAUGCAUCGGAACGUACCUUUCAGUGAGGGAUAACGUAGCGAAAGUUACGCUAAUACCGCAUAUUCUGUGAGCAGGAAAGCAGGGGAUCGCAAGACCUUGCGCUGAUUGAGCGGCCGAUGUCAGAUUAGCUAGUUGGUGAGGUAAAGGCUCACCAAGGCGACGAUCUGUAGCGGGUCUGAGAGGAUGAUCCGCCACACUGGAACUGAGACACGGUCCAGACUCCUACGGGAGGCAGCAGUGGGGAAUUUUGGACAAUGGGGGCAACCCUGAUCCAGCCAUGCCGCGUGAGUGAAGAAGGCCUUCGGGUUGUAAAGCUCUUUCGGCCGGGAAGAAAUCGUAUGGGCUAAUACCCUGUGCGGAUGACGGUACCGGCAUAAGAAGCACCGGCUAACUACGUGCCAGCCGCCGCCGUAACAC
rnacentral:rRNA from 1 species